rnacentral:rRNA from 1 species
CCUACGGGUGGCAGCAGUGGGGGAUAUUGCACAAUGGGGGAAACCCUGAUGCAGCGACGCCGCGUGUAGGAAGACGGUCCUCUGGAUUGUAAACUACUGUCCCCAGGGACGAAGAUGACGGUACCUGGGGAGGAAGCUCCGGCUAACUACGUGCCAGCAGCCGCGGUAAUACGUAGGGAGCGAGCGUUGUCCGGAAUUACUGGGUGAAAAGGGAGCGUAGGGGGGGAUGCAAGUUGGGUGUUAAAUCUACCGGCUCAACUGGUAGUCGCACUCAAAACUGCAGCUCUUGAGUGAAGUAGAGGCAGGCGGAAUUCCUAGUGUAGCGGUGAAAUGCGUAGAUAUUAGGAGGAACACCAGUGGCGAAGGCGGCCUGCUGGGCUUUUACUGACGCUGAGGCACGAAAGCGUGGGUAUCGAACAGGAUUAGAUACCCGAGUAGUC